CAGCAGUCUCCUCUCACAUUGCUUGCUUUCUUUUGUAUCCUGUUCCUUAUUCCCACUGGAUUUAGGGGAGGAGAGAAAGCAUCAGGAUGCCAGGACAGCAACACCGGAACAGAACAGAGAGAUGCUGGAUGACGCUUCUCUUAGCCAACAGCCUGUCCCGUGAUUUCCACGCGAUUCCCUCUAGACCUGGAUCUUCAGCCUCCUGCCCUCAACCUAACCAGAAGCUGAUGACAGCCACAUCAAAAGGAGUUCUGAAAGUGGCAUCUGGAUGGAAAGGGAGCCUCUUGGGCACUCCAGCGGCUAGCGAGGCCCUCCUGCCUUCUGAUUGUUCAGGUGUCUAAUGAAACUUUCAAGUCACUGUGCUCGGUGCUGUGCAGGAGACAGAGGCGCCCGAGGAAUGGGCCAGAUCUCAUGGACCUUUCAGUGACAGUUAAGAUGGGAAGUAGGAUGCAUGACUCAAUCACCCAAGGAAGAAACCCACAAGGAAGGUAAAAAUAAGUCUGUGGAAUCUGAGGUGAGGGAGAAGAUGGAUCUGCUGAAGGACUCAGGGUGGUACUUGGGCCCCGUCUUGAAGAAGUUGGAUAUGAGGGAAUAGAGGAAAAUAUGGUGGUAAGAAAGCACAUUCAGGGAAGGAAAUAUGAAGCAGAAUAUCAGGUGCUAAUACCGGAAUGGCUCAGAUCAAAUUAUAACAGAUCUUGAAUGCCAGCCAAGAAGCUUGCACUCUAACUGGUAAGUAGGAAGCUCCAUGAAGGAAGAACUUAUACAAAUUUCCAAUUUGUUGAACACGUAUUGAACUCUUUUUCAAAAGUGAAUUCUCCAUCCCUGCAGGUUUAAGCACCAAUUGGAUGUGCUUUUAGCCAGCUGUCUACUUAGGGUUUAUAGAGAUUCAUCAAGGGGAUUCAUGCAUGGACUGAGUCACUGCUGUGGUUACCUCUGAUUAACGUUACACAAUCAGGAUUUUGGAACCAGAAAUUGACACCAGUAUCAUAGGAGGGAAGACUGUAUUUCUUUUUGUAUUUUGUAGGUGCUAAAUUAAUGCUUUUGCAAUUAACAAAUGACAUGAACAGAGUCGUGCUUCAGAAAAAGGAAUUCUGCAGGAAGGUUUAUACUGAUUAGUCAGAAGGGAGAUACUGGGUAUAGCAAGACUGGUUAGGACACUAUUAAUCAUUUUCAAGGCCUAAACUAUGUUAAGUCUGAAUGGGAAAGAAAAGUAGAUAGACCUUAUGGAUGUAGAAUCAAGAUUACCAUUUUGUUGUAAUUAUUUAUGACUCUCUUCCUCAAUGGACUGAAAAUUUCAUGGGAGCAAGAAGUGUAUCUUAUUUGACUUUCUGUCCCCUCUGC
ensembl:lncRNA